GUAAAGGAAAAGUGGUCUAUUGUUUAAUUACUUUAAAAAACUACGUACUGAUACGAUACCUUUGUAAUAUGAUGUAUAUUUUAUUUAAAUUUAGGUUGUAGUUUCAUGAUUUUCUCAAUGAAAUAAAUAUGGAGGAGUCAUAUUCGUGCGAUAAUGGAGGAAAUAGCUAAUAGAUGUAAGUAUAGUUUUUACUUUUUUUCAAAUUACAGGUGAAAAGUGAUUGAAACUCAUUAUUAUUGAUAAAAUAUCUAUAAGAGUUAUCUGAAAUAAAUUUACUUAUCUGGUUAA